rnacentral:rRNA from 1 species
UGGGGAAUAUUGGACAAUGGGCGCAAGCCUGAUCCAGCCAUACCGCGUGGGUGAAGAAGGCCUUCGGGUUGUAAAGCCCUUUUGUUGGGAAAGAAAUCCAGCCGGCUAAUACCUGGUUGGGAUGACGGUACCCAAAGAAUAAGCACCGGCUAACUUCGUGCCAGCAGCCGCGGUAAUACGAAGGGUGCAAGCGUUACUCGGAAUUACUGGGCGUAAAGCGUGCGUAGGUGGUUGUUUAAGUCUGUUGUGAAAGCCCUGGGCUCAACCUGGGAACUGCAGUGGAAACUGGACAACUAGAGUGUGGUAGAGGGUAGCGGAAUUCCCGGUGUAGCAGUGAAAUGCGUAGAGAUCGGGAGGAACAUCCAUGGCGAAGGCAGCUACCUGGACCAACACUGACACUGAGGCACGAAAGCGUGGGGAGCAAACAG